GCGGCACAUUAGCUAGUAGGUGAGGUAAGAGCUCACCUAGGCGACGAUGUGUAGCCGGUCUGAGAGGAUGAACGGCCACAAUGGAACUGAGACACGGUCCAUACUCCUACGGGAGGCAGCAGUGGGGAAUAUUGCACAAUGGGGGAAACCCUGAUGCAGCAACGCCGCGUGAGUGAAGAAGGUUUUCGGAUUGUAAAGCUCUGUUAGCAGGGAAGAGGAAGGACGGUACCUGCAGAGGAAGCCACGGCUAACUAC
rnacentral:rRNA from 1 species